rnacentral:rRNA from 1 species
GAGUUUGAUCAUGGCUCAGAACGAACGCUGGCGGCAGGCUUAACACAUGCAAGUCGAGCGCCCCGCGAGGGGAGCGGCAGACGGGUGAGUAACGCGUGGGGAUGUACCCAAAGGUGCGGAAUAACUCAGGGAAACUUGAGCUAAUACCGCAUGUGCCCGAGAGGGGAAAGAUUUAUCGCCUUUGGAUCAACCCGCGUCAGAUUAGCUAGUUGGUAGGGUAAUGGCCUACCAAGGCGACGAUCUGUAGCUGGUCUGAGAGGACGACCAGCCACACUGGGACUGAGACACGGCCCAGACUCCUACGGGAGGCAGCAGUGGGGAAUUUUGGACAAUGGACGCAAGUCUGAUCCAGCCAUGCCGCGUGCGGGAAGAAGGCCUUCGGGUUGUAAACCGCUUUUGUCAGGGAAGAAAAGUCUUGGGUUAAUACCUCGGGAUGAUGACGGUACCUGAAGAAUAAGCACCGGCUAACUACGUGCCAGCAGCCGCGGUAAUACG